UUGAUGUGAUGAGUCAAGAACUCUCCUUUAAGAAACUUUCACCUAGCUUUGUACAGCUCUUAAGCUCUCAAAAGCACAAAAAGUAGGUUGACUCCAGGCCUCUCUCCCAAAAAACAAGAUUCCAAAACUUCAAUUUCACCAGCAGCUGUGAGCAUCUCAACACAGCUCCAUUUCAAUGAAAUGAACAGUUGCAUAAAAUAGCCAACUAUCAGUCAUUCAGGGAUGCAUCAUUUCAGCUUACAGAUACCCAAGACCGCAUCCGUCCCCACCUUCUUUUUGGGAUCCAGCCAUUUCCACCUCAGAAGAUCUCAGGAUAAAGAAUAUACGCUACAUAACUUCAAGAUUCUAAGGCAGACACUGAAGUAUUCAAAAACAAGGCACUCAUGAUGUAAAUAUACCCAAAAGGCACUAAGAGAUUGAUACAACAGGUAUUAGAAUAAUGGUAUCUGUCGCCAAAUGGCAAAGUAUAUGGCACUGGUCAUUUAACUCAUUAUUUUGAAAUUUUUCUAAAUGAGAAAAUCAAGGCUCAGAUGUAAAUGUUCUUUAAACGUUCUAGAAAUGGUAACAGUGUUAAUAGAGUUGUGUGGCCACAGGAUACCAUACUUUCUCACAUGUUAACUAAAACAUUACACCACCUGCCUCUUCACGUAAGCUAUUUGUGAUUAUUAUCCAAAAGUAAACUCUAACAGUUAAUCUAUCUUGAAGUUUCUUAAAAUUCUUCUGCACUCAUGCUAACAAAAGUCUAAAUUAAGAACGUGAA